UACGGGGGGGCAAGCGUUGUUCGGAAUACUGGGCGUAAAGGGCUCGUAGGCGGCCAACUAAGUCGGAUGUGAAAUCCCCAGGCUUAACCUGGGAACUGCAUCCGAUACUGGAUGGCUUGAAUUCGGGAGAGGGAUGCAGAAUUCCAGGUGUAGCGGUGAAAUGCGUAGAUAUCUGGAGGAAUACCGGUGGCGAAGGCGGCAUCCUGGACCGACAUUGACGCGUGAGGAGCGAAAGCUAGGGGAGCAAACGGG
rnacentral:rRNA from 1 species